GCAAUUCGCAACAAUUUCACAGCCGUUGAUGCCAAAUCUAGUUUUUUGUUUUUGAGUCGCGGCUGUUACUGGAUUUCUGUUUUUGGUCGUCUGAUAAUUCAGUAAAAUGAAGCUCAAAACCAAGCCCUCAUCUCAUAAUUCAGAAAACACUUUCCAGUUCUAAUGUUUUCAGAGGAAUCGACUUCGUUUCAGUUUCGCGCGUUUUCUGAGAGGCAGAAAUGUCGUAACGUAAACAGAAAUGUCAUCCAUCGAAUUGAUCGGAAGGGAAGUUAUGCGGAGGUCAUAUCGAUUCACAUCCGAGGUACCCUCAAUCCUGGGUGUGGCUGACCACCUCUCAGAUCUUCGGCCUUCUGUUAGCUGCUCAAAAACCAGAGGAUGUGGUGACCUUAUGGAAUUCUUAGGAGAACCCACAUAUAACCAAACAGCCGGUUUCCUCUCAAACAACCUUUAU